rnacentral:rRNA from 1 species
GACGAACGCUGGCGGCGUGCUUAACACAUGCAAGUCGAGCGGUAAGGCCCUUUUGGGGGUACGACGAGCGGCGAACGGGUGAGUAACACGUGGGUGACCUGCCCUCAGCUCUGGGAGUAAGCCUGGGAAACGUGGGUCUAAUACUGGAUAUGACCUUUCCUCGCAGUGGGGGUUGGGUGGGUAAAGUUUUUCGGUCGUGGGGAGUGGGCCCGGCGGCCUAUCAGCUUGUUGGGUGGGGUGAUGGCCUACCAAGGCGACGACGGGUAGCCGGCCUGAGAGGGCGACCGG